rnacentral:rRNA from 1 species
UUUUAUGAGAGUUUGAUCCUGGCUCAGGACGAACGCUGGCGGCGUGCCUAAUACAUGCAAGUCGAACGCUUCUUUUUCCACCGGAGCUUGCUCCACCGGAAAAAGAGGAGUGGCGAACGGGUGAGUAACACGUGGGUAACCUGCCCAUCAGAAGGGGAUAACACUUGGAAACAGGUGCUAAUACCGUAUAACAAUCGAAACCGCAUGGUUU